rnacentral:lncRNA from 1 species
GCUCCACGUCCCUGCCCCUAUGCGAAGCCUGUAUGAAGAGGUCCUUCACGGAAUAAAGCGAGGCAAGAGGUCGUCUUCUGGGAGUUUGUACUACUAGUUGCAAAAUACAGGCCCUUUUUUGCACAACACUUCAAUCAAGAGUAAAAAUUCCAGACCUGCAUUUCUUUCAACAUGCACCUGCCUUAGAAGAUGCUUUCCUACAGAGGAGGAUGGUUGCUGAUUUCUUUUAGAAAUGCUUGAGAUGAAACCUAUGCAGAUUACAGCUUGUUGGGACAUGCCCUUCCCUCUACCAGGAACUCUACAGGAGAGAAAAAGAGAAGGACUCACUGAACUUCUACAUAGACUCUAAAUGACCAAAAUGAGACUAUCCAGAAUUCAAGAAUAUAGAUGAGCUCUACUUC